rnacentral:lncRNA from 10 species
UGGUUCUCUGGUACAGUCUGCUCCUCCUGGAUUGUCCCUGUAUGAUACUUGUCAUUGAAUUAAAGAUCCAGCCGGAUAAUCCAGGAUGACUUCAUCAUCUCAACAUCCUUAAGUGGACUGUAUCCGCCAAUACUCUUCUUUCAAUAAGGCCUCCAAGCCUGUGAUCGGGGGGGCUGCUGUGAAGAUCUCUGAUAUGCUCUGGAGACAUUUUCCCCAUUGUCCUGAUGAGUGUAACGCCUUUACUUCUGCCAUGAUUGAAAGCUACCUGGAGCCUCCCCAGAAGCAGAUGCCUGUGUUAUGCUUCCCGUACAACCUGCAGAACCAUAAGCC